CCUACGGGUGGCUGCAGUGGGGAAUAUUGGACAAUGGGCGAAAGCCUGAUCCAGCCAUGCCGCGUGUGUGAAGAAGGCCUUCGGGUUGUAAAGCACUUUCAGUGGGGAAGAAAGCCUUGGGGCUAAUACCCUCGAGGAAGGACAUCACCCACAGAAGAAGCACCGGCUAACUCCGUGCCAGCAGCCGCGGUAAUACGGAGGGUGCGAGCGUUAAUCGGAAUUACUGGGCGUAAAGCGCGCGUAGGCGGUCUGAUAAGCCGGUUGUGAAAGCCCCGGGCUCAACCUGGGAACGGCAUCCGGAACUGUCAGGCUAGAGUGCAGGAGAGGAAGGUGGAAUUCCCGGUGUAGCGGUGAAAUGCGUAGAGAUCGGGAGGAAUACCAGUGGCGAAGGCGGCCUUCUGGACUGACACUGACGCUGAGGUGCGAAAGCGUGGGUAGCAAACAGGAUUAGAUACCCCAGUAGUC
rnacentral:rRNA from 1 species